GUGCUGAGUGAUUUGACCAAAGUUCAAAUAUAUUUCAAACCUAUUUUAAAUGGUUUUGAAAAUGGCUCGAAGGAAAAGAAUUAAAAUAAAAAAAACACAAAACCCCUCCCCUCUCGGCCUGCCUACCUACGAGAGUAGUCCUCAACAUGUACCAUCUCGCCAACAUAUUGUCCCGUGACAUCAGGAAACCAAGUUUAACUCUUAUUUGGAUCCUAAAACACAUCGGCCCAUAAGCCUAUACAUAUAUAUAUACAGCAAGCUACCGUAUCAUCUUCUUGUUUUUCCUUCCUGCAACAGAGCAUACUCUUGCCCUUGCCCUAGAUUGUGUCUGCCGCCGCCGUAGCAGAUGUCAUUAUCGUUGUUUCAUCGGCCGUCGUCCGUGACCUGUUGCCGAGCUCUGCAUUGAGGAAAUCCCGAGCUGCCCUAUCGAGCACCAGGAUGUCCCCGUUUGCCAAC
rnacentral:lncRNA from 1 species